rnacentral:rRNA from 1 species
GACGGGGGAUGCGAGCGUUAUCCGGAAUGAUUGGGCGUAAAGGGUGCGUAGGCGGUGCGGUAAGUCUGUAGUGAAAUCUCUGGGCUCAACUCAGAGUCUGCUAUAGAAACUGCCGUGCUUGAGUGUGGGAGAGGUGAGUGGAAUUCCCGGUGUAGCGGUGAAAUUCGUAGAUAUUCGCAAGAACACCAGUGGCGAAGGCGGCUCACUGGCCCGGAACUGACGCUGAGACGCGAAAGCGUGGGGAGCAAACAGG